rnacentral:misc_RNA from 1 species
GAUGAAGAACGUAGUGAAAUGCGAUACGUAAUGUGAAUUGCAGAAUUCAGUGAAUCAUCGAGUCUUUGAACGCACAUUGCGCCCCCUGGUAUUCCGGGGGGCAUGCCUGUCCGAGCGUCAUUGCUGCCCUCAAGCACGGCUUGUGUGUUGGGCCUCCGUCCUCCUCCCGGGGGACGGGCCCGAAAGGCAGCGGCGGCACCGCGUCCGGUCCUCGAGCGUAUGGAGCUUCGUCACCCGCUCUUGUAGGCCCGGCCGGCGCUUGCCGACACAUCAAUCUUUUUUCCAGGUUGACCUCGGAUCAGGUAGGGAUACCCGCUGAACUUAAGCAUAUCAAUAAGCGGAGGA